AUGAAGAAAUGCAGAGGAGAGAGAAACCUGGCACAGAGCAAGACUAUCCAAAAGGCUUUCAGACAUCCCUGGAGGCCCCUGCACCUCUGGGUCCUACAUGAGCACAUCGCUGCUAGUUCCUGCAUUUCCCUUCAGCAGCACCAGCUCAAGCCUGGUGGAAUAGUGAAAUGUGAGUCCUUUUGCAAACCACGCGCUGUGAGCAGGCCCGUGUCAUCCACACACCUUCCUGUCUGGCUAGGUCAGGGACAGAAGCACCUGCCUGCCUGCUGGGGACAUUGUCGCCACAAAUCUGUGACUUUCCUGACCCUCAGCAGAUUUCUGUGCUCACCUGCAAGUUCUGCCUUGAUCCUUUUCUGUGCUUGGCUCCUGCACAUGAAAAGAGAGGCUCGAUUGCCCAAACACACAUUCCUCACCAACAGUUUACAUUAAUGUCUCUCUGCUUAUCCUGUAAUUGCAGUGCAUGUACUCCAGCUCUUUGCAUUCAUGUUUGUAGAAGUGGAUGUAUCUCGUGUGUACCUGUUUUAUCUAUCAUAGCGCCGAGAAAACAGAGACUCUUUGAAGUACACAUUUGGAAAGUGCAUGGCCAAACUGUCCAUAAACAUGCUGGCUAAUCACUUCACCCAGCAGUGAAAAGGGCUGCCUUAGUCUUAAGAUAUGUUGGAUGUAUGGUGUAUGCUGUGGAUGCAACUGCCUUAAAUUUCAAGAUCCAGAAGAUGGAUCAAGCUAGGAAGAUUGUUCUUAUAUGUAACUUCUGGUCUUUUGGUUUACAGUCAAUGCUAGUGUUUGGGGUACAAAAGAAUCAGCAGCAGUAGUUGGUUUUGAUCACACAAUCAGGCUGUCCCAAAGGUGGUCUUUGUCUUCAGUCCAAAAAUGUUGUCUGAAUAGUAGUGCAUUGAGUUACUACAUUGAAUUCAUAGACAACAUCAUUGAGUAGCUGCUGGGGUGAAUAAAAUGGCUUUCACAUGAAAUGAGGGAAUUGGU
rnacentral:lncRNA from 1 species